GGAUGUGAUGGGGAGCGAAAUUUAGUAGCGAAGUAGCUGAUUUCACACUGUCAAGAAAAGUCUCUAUCGAGGUUAAAGGUACCCGUACCGCAAACCGACACAGGUGGGUGAGGAGAGUAUCCUAAGGCCAGCGAGAGAACUGUUGUUAAGGAACUCGGCAAAAUGACCCCGUAACUUAGGGAUAAGGGGUGCCACCAUCAGGUGGCCGCAGAGAAUAGGCCCAAGCGACUGUUUACCAAAAACAUAGGUUUCUGCUAAGUCGCAAGACGAUGUAUAGGAGCUGACGCCUGCCCGGUGCUGGA
rnacentral:rRNA from 1 species